GUUUCAGACGAACAUUUGAGGAGUUGAAGC
rnacentral:other from 1 species